rnacentral:misc_RNA from 1 species
AAGUCGUAACAAGGUUUCCGUAGGUGAACCUGCGGAAGGAUCAUUAUUGUAUAACCGAGGUGCGAGGGCUGUCGCUGACCCGAAAGGUCGUGCACGCCCGAGUGCCCUCACACACAUCCAUCUCACCCCUAUGUGCACCACCGCGUGGGUCCCCCUUUGGCUUGUUCGGAGGGGGGCUUACGUUUUCACACAAACUUUGUAUGCAGUGUAGAAUGUAUUUUUUGUUUUUGCGAUCACGCAAUCAAUACAACUUUCAACAACGGAUCUCUUGGCUCUCGCAUCGAUGAAGAACGCAGCGAAAUGCGAUACGUAAUGUGAAUUGCAGAAUUCAGUGAAUCAUCGAAUCUUUGAACGCACCUUGCGCCCCUUGGCAUUCCGAGGGGCACACCCGUUUGAGUGUCGUGAAAUUCUCAAAAACCUUUUUCUUUUUGGGAAAGGGUUUUUGGACUUGGAGGCUUUUUGCUGGCUUCACCUUGAAGUGAGCUCCUCCUAAAUGAAUCAGUGGGGUCCGCUUUGCCGAUCCUUGACGUGAUAAGAUGUUUCUGCGUCUUUGGGUUUGGCACUGUCACCUGCUUCUAACUGUCUCAUUGACAAUGAUGGUGCUCCGGUCACCACCGCUCUUAUCGGUGUGAGGCUUGACCCACAAAAACAAAACCUUGACCUCAAAUCGGGUGAGACUACCCGCUGAACUUAAGCAUAUCAAUAAGCGGAGGAAAAGAAACUAACAAGGAUUCCCCUAGUAACUGCGAGUGAAGCGGGAAAAGCUCAAAUUUAAAAUCUGGCGGUCUAUGGCUGUCCGAGUUGUAAUCUAGAGAA